ensembl:misc_RNA Metazoa_SRP Metazoan signal recognition particle RNA
GCCGGGCAUGGUGGUGCAUGCCUAUAAUCCCAGCUACUUGGGAGGCUGAGGCUGGAGAAUCACUUGAACCCAGGAGGUGGAGGUUACAGUGAGCUGAGAUCGCGCCACUGCACUCCAGCCUGGGCAACAGAGUGAGACUCUGUCUCAA